rnacentral:rRNA from 1 species
GUAAAGGCUCACCAAGACCGUGAUGCAUAGCCGACCUGAGAGGGUAAUCGGCCACAUUGGGACUGAGACCCGGCCCAGACUCCUACGGGAGGCAGCAGUAGGGAAUCUUCCACAAUGGACGAAAGUCUGAUGGAGCAACGCCGCGUGAGUGAAGAAGGUUUUCGGAUCGUAAAACUCUGUUGUUGGAGAAGAAUGUAUCUGAUAGUAACUGAUCAGGUAGUGACGGUAUCCAACCAGAAAGCCACGGCUAACUACGUGCCAGCAGCCGCGGUAAUACGUAGGUGGCAAGCGUUGUCCGGAUUUAUUGGGCGUAAAGCGAGCGCAGGCGGUUUCUUAAGUCUGAUGUGAAAGCCUUCGGCUCAACCGAAGAAGUGCAUCGGAAACUGGGAAACUUGAGUGCAGAAGAGGACAGUGGAACUCCAUGUGUAGCGGUGAAAUGCGUAGAUAUAUGGAAGAACACCAGUGGCGAAGGCGGCUGUCUGGUCUGUAACUGACGCUGAGGCUCGAAAGCAUGGGUAGCAAACAGGAUUAGAUACCCUGGUAGUCCAUGCCGUAAACGAUGAGUGCUAGGUGUUGGAGGGUUUCCGCCCUUCAGUGCCGCAGCUAACGCAUUAAGCACUCCGCCUGGGGAGUACGACCGCAAGGUUGAAACUCAAAGGAAUUGACGGGGGCCCGCACAAGCGGUGGAGCAUGUGGUUUAAUUCGAAGCAACGCGAAGAACCUUACCAGGUCUUGACAUCCUUUGACCACUCUAGAGAUAGAGCUUUCCCUUCGGGGACAAAGUGACAGGUGGUGCAUGGUUGUCGUCAGCUCGUGUCGUGAGAUGUUGGGUUAAGUCCCGCAACGAGCGCAACCCUUAUUACUAGUUGCCAGCAUUUAGUUGGGCACUCUAGUGAGACUGCCGGUGACAAACCGGAGGAAGGUGGGGACGACGUCAAAUCAUCAUGCCCCUUAUGACCUGGGCUACACACGUGCUACAAUGGAUGGUACAACGAGUUGCGAGACCGCGAGGUUUAGCUAAUCUCUUAAAACCAUUCUCAGUUCGGAUUGUAGGCUGCAACUCGCCUACAUGAAGCCGGAAUCGCUAGUAAUCGCGGAUCAGCAUGCCGCGGUGAAUACGUUCCCGGGCCUUGUACACACCGCCCGUCACACCAUGAGAGUUUGUAACACCCAAAGCCGGUGAGGUAACCCUUCGGGAGCCAGCCGUCUAAGG